rnacentral:rRNA from 1 species
UACGUAGGGAGCAAGCGUUGUCCGGAAUCAUUGGGCGUAAAGCGCGCGUAGGCGGCCCUGUAAGUCCGCUGUGAAAGUCAAAGGCUCAACCUUUGAAUGCCGGUGGAUACUGCAGGGCUAGAGUCCGGAAGAGGCAAGUGGAAUUCCUGGUGUAGAGGUGAAAUUCGUAGAUAUCGGGGAGGAACACCGGUGGCGAAGGCGACCAUCUGGACGGAUACUGACGCUGAGACGCGAAAGCGUGGGUAGCAAACAGG